rnacentral:rRNA from 1 species
UAGGACGAACGGCUGGCGGCGUGCCUAAUACGAUGCAAGUCGAGCGAACCGAUGAAGAGCUUGCUCUUCAAAGGUGAGCGGCGGACGGGUGAGUAACACGUGGGCAACCUGCCUGCAAGAUCGGGAUAACUCCGGGAAACCGGGGCUAAUACCGGAUAAUGCAUUUCGCUGCAUGGCGGAAUGCUUAAAGGCGGCUUCGGCUGUCACUUGCAGAUGGGCCCGCGGCGCAUUAGCUAGUUGGGGAGGUAACGGCUCCCCCAAGGGCGACGAUGCGUAGCCGACCUGAGAGGGUGAUCGGCCACACUGGGACUGAGACACGGCCCAGACUCCUACGGGAGGCAGCAGUAGGGAAUUUUCCGCAAUGGGCGCAAGCCUGACGGAGCCAACGCCGCGUGAGUGAGGACGGCUUUCGGGUUGUAAAACUCUGUUCUUCGGGAAGAACGGCGGUCGGGUGAAUAGCCCGAUUGCGUGACGGUACCGAAGGAGAAAGCCCCGGCUAACUACGUGCCAGCCGCCGC